UUGUGGAUCAUUUUUGGUCUAUAAAAUUAUCUCCAUCUAUCAAUUUCAGAAUAAUAGGUGAGAACACCUUAAAUAAAAUGCUCCGCUGGGCGCAGCUUGAUACGACCGCAGAGGUUAAACCCUGAACAGUUGGGGCAAAAGGUUUCUGACACAGAAUAACUGUAGUCAAAGAACUUAGAAUUGGUUAUUUGAUUUGAAUUUAUAUUCAACUUUUUGCUUUUGUGCAAUACACUGUGCCUGUGCGAAUUGACCCCCCA